UACGGAGGGAGCUAGCGUUAUUCGGAAUUACUGGGCGUAAAGCGCGCGUAGGCGGCUUUGUAAGUAAGAGGUGAAAGCCCAGAGCUCAACUCUGGAAUUGCCUUUUAGACUGCAUCGCUUGAAUCAUGGAGAGGUCAGUGGAAUUCCGAGUGUAGAGGUGAAAUUCGUAGAUAUUCGGAAGAACACCAGUGGCGAAGGCGGCUGACUGGACAUGUAUUGACGCUGAGGUGCGAAAGCGUGGGGAGCAAACAGG
rnacentral:rRNA from 1 species